CGGCAAAUACAAAUGUAACACUUGCGCUGCAUACGUUAAGUAGUUUCCUCGUCAUGGGGUGUCGGGGGGCGGAGGUUCAAAUCCUCUCGUGCCGACCA
rnacentral:tRNA from 1 species